rnacentral:tRNA from 1 species
GAUGUAGCUUAGUGGUUAGAGCGUGCGGUUUUCAACCGCAAGACGUCGGUUCGAUUCCGGCCGAAAACA